rnacentral:rRNA from 1 species
UUUGACUGCCAUAGCGUUGUGGAACCACCUGAACCCAUGCCGAACUCAGAAGUGAAACGCACCCGCGCCGAUGAUAGUGUGGCAGAUGCCAUGUGAAAGUAGGUCACAGUCAAAC